UAUUCAUUAGCAGGAGUAUUCUAACAUUCAUGAAAAACAAGGAGGAACUGUGGUUUAUUUGUUUUUUUGCUUAAAUCUAAAAAUUGAAGUUAGUUUAGCAGUUGACUGUUGCAGUCAUUUGGAUGUUUUGCAUGCAUUUCACUAGGAAGACUAAGAGCUAAGACUUUUUUAUUGCCAUGGCCUUGACUGCCUUGAUGUUGUUUUGCACCAUGCCCUUGUGUUGACUUUUGCAUACGAUAUUUUUCAGGCACCCGCUUUAUAUAACGCAAGAAGGCAGCUGCAAGGACACGAGGAUGUGAAAGAGCCAGUGCAGCGCGACUUCACGUAGUGUAGAGGAGCCAAUGCCAAAAAAUCAAAAUACAUUGGCAUGUUAUUUGGACAAGAAAACUAGUAUGGACAACCCAGGACGUGCAUUUCUCAGCACCCAGUCAACUGCCAAAAGUGACUCAAACACAGGCCACCAGUGGAACUCGGCUGUACCACUGCAGUGCUGCGGAAAUUGCCUUCACCAUCGGCUUUGCAACAGCUGUUUCGCAGCAUGUCGGAGACAAUGCCUACGAAAUUAUUGGCCCUGAUCAUGAGAGCCCUCAAGGGGCAAACAACAUCUCUGUUGCAGAAGUGAGCCCGAUACCACUUGGAAGUUACCAUGACAGAUGACACGGCAGCAAUAGAUACAGAGACUGCCAUGUCUGCUGCAGCUGCAACAGUGUACGAGGCAAGCAGCAGCGCGUCAGCAUCAGCAGCAGUGUCAGAAGGGACCGCACCAGGCCUGGUAGAGCAACAUGUGUGCUAUCACUGACUUUUUUUGUAGUGGAUACAACUCAUUUGCUCAACAUACAAAAGCUUUUCACCACGACUGUGAGCCAGUGUUAUUGUGCAGCAAGUGCAAGACUAAGUUAGGUGUUAUAGCACAGUACAAGCAUCACUUUAAUAUAUGCAAAUGCAAACAUAUUACAGUUGAUGCCUCCCCAGCCAGCCCACAUAGUGACAACAAUGUGGAACACAUGGUGGGACACACCUCUCCCCCAUUACAAGAUAGUAGAGACUGUCAGUGUUGUUGCUAGAUUGACUGGUCUUUGUAGGCAACUAGAAGGACAACACAGGUGUCAUAAGAUUGUUGUUGAUGUUGUUGUUGAAGAGGUAAAAAAGAAGUUUGAUGCAGCUGAAGUGCCAACUGAUAUUGAGCAAAUCAAAAGCAACCACCUGAGAAAGCAACACUAUCGAAAUUUGGGUAUCUAUGUGCCGCCAACUCUGGUAAGAAUGGCAUAGGACAGAAGUGUGAUGAAAAUCACACAGACACUGCUGUUGCAUCACUGGCAACAGUGAGCAGCGACUUGUAGGGCAAGAGAGUGAACUGAAACUAACAUUAUGAUAUAGUGUCAUGCUCCCAUGUGACCACUUUUCAUGUUAUUUUGCAAGAUACAGCUCAACCUCCAGAAACGAGACUGCAACUUGUCUGUAAAAAAGCUUUCACAAAAAAUUAUUCAUAACACUAUUAACAUAGCAGUAUCUUUCUUUUUGUGUCGGUUCGAGGUUCCCGGCUGUCCAUUAAUGCAAAAAUUGAGGAAAAAAAGAACAUGUGUCGUACUUACACCUUUUUAACAAGUACGAGGGGGGCAGAACUUUUCUAGUCAUGCAUCUUCAUCAUACUAUUAAGUUUUUAAAUGCCUUUUAUAAUUAUUAUUACCAGUUAUAUCUGAGUGCAUUGUAUGCAUGUAGCAGGUGUAAAAUCAGGUCAGUUGGAUCAGAUGCCUUAUCUGCAAGCGAGCCCUAUAUUCAAGAAAUUUGAAUUAAAAUAGUUACGUUAGAGACGCAGUCUUUCAGCACUUUAUUGCCUGUGGUUUAAGCAUUGCUCAAUACUUUUGUGGGUGGAAAUUUCAACCGGCACAGCACUGCGCUUUGCCACAGUCACAUUUGUCUUCAAAGCGGUGUUUACCAUUUGUGUUGAUCUGUUUGUGUAUGCAUAGAGCAAGUUUUUAAUUUAUAUUUUUCUGCAUUCUUGUGCUUGCACUAAGCUUGUAUAAGGCAGUUGCAAAAUGUGCGUCACUAUAACGAACUGUUCUGUUGAGCUUACACUUGCAAAUAAUCGUGUUCAGAUGGCCGCACUUCUAUGCGGGUGCACCGCUAGCUUUGUGUAUGUUCUCAUGUUUGUAUAAAGCUUAUAUAAGCUAGUUAGAAAAUGUAUGUCACUAAGCAUUGUAAUAUUCUUUAAAGAACUGCUUGGUUGGUUUUACACUUGUGAAUUAGUAUUGAGGCGGUGGUAUUCCCAUGUAUGCCCACUGCUAACUUUCUGUGUCCUCACGUGUUUGUAUUAAGUUUCUACAAGGGAGUUACAGCAUGUACGUCACUAAGCGCUGUGAUAUUUUUUAAAGAACUGCUUUGUUGGUUUUACACCUGUGAGUAAUAGUACUCGGGUGGCACUAGUCAUGUGUAGGUACACAGGGACCAUUUGUAUACAUUAGGCUCAUGUAAAGCAGUUACAAAGUGUAUGUCACUAAUUACUGUGAUAUUUGUUGAAUUGCUGUGAUGGUUUUACACAUGUGAAUAAUAGUGGUCAGGACACAGUACUUGCGGUGUAUAGUUGAAUUUAUACACUGCCAAGACAUGGGCUGUAUACGUACCAAGAGAAAUGUAUGUCAUUAUAUUGUUGUGAUUAUUACUGUUUGGAUUUUAUUAAACUGUAAUAAAAUUGUUUCUUGUAUCUAUUGA